ACAGCCUUAAUUUAGUUCCAUAUACUCAUCCUGCUUGCCCACCUCUAAGUCAUGUCCAUUUUCCUUUAGCCAUUCUGCAACAGGAGCUCUCUUCCAGCCUGCUUGAUUCCAUGAUUCUAAGGAGAUCUCCCAUGUCCCACCCUAGCUGGAAAGCAUCUCCCAUGCGCCAGUCUGGUUGGAUGCUCUCUCGAUGAGACUUCGGGGUUUGAUUUGUUCGAUUUCUCACCUGGCUUUUAGCCAAAUCUCUCCCUGGUCAGAUUUGGUGCCAUUUGUUUGUUUUGCACUCCUUCUUCUACCCCCGCAGCACCUGAAGUCAAUUGAAGUCUCCUCCCACCCCAGCUGUGGCCACUUUGCCCUCCCUGCUCAGUGCCCUUUAUAAGCACUGCAGGAGGAGCCCAGCCCUGCCCGACAUCCCAGGAUGUUGUGGGUGUUCUUUUCUCUUUUACAGAGAAUGAAGAUUAUGGAGGGGAAACUGAGGUGACUUCAGAGCAGAGAAGUGAUAUUUUGGAGGAAAAAGCUGAACAGGUCUAUUGGGAAGGAAGCAAAAACUCUGGAGGAAAAAUCUGAGGUAAACAAGAGGACACAAGUGACAUUUUAUAGGGGAAAAAAGUGAGUUAGUCUCUAGGGGAUAAAAAUGAAGACUGUAGGAGGGAAAAGCUGAGGUGAUUGGGUGGAACAGAGCUGACAUGAUGCAUGAAAAAACUUAGGGUAACCCAUAGGGGAGACCAUGACCAUUUUGGAGAGAAAUCCUGAGGUAGGUGAGGGUAUGUGGGUAACAUAUUAAAAGAGAGACCUAAGGUAGUGUCUGUGAAACAAGAUACUCUUGUGUCACCAGAGUUAUAGUCAGAGGCGAGUCCCUUUGGCCAGAGUACCUUGCUCACCUCCCAUUUUCCAGCCCGAUGCGGAUCCUCUUUGCGAUGUGUCUUGCUUCGCGAUUCCAUGCCACGCCUCUUCCACCAUCAGUGUCAGCUGCUGCUGAGGAAGAAGGAUAGACUUAGGCUUCAGUAGCACCUCCUCCUCCAUGCCCGAGGAAAACAGGGACCUCCCCAGAGGCACCACCCCUAGUCCGAGUGCCUUUGCGCUCAGCUAGCAGCCCGUGUGGGGUGCCCGCGUCCUUAGCGGGGUGCGGGUGUAGAUGGCCCUAAACUGGAGAGAAGGAGCCUCCGUAGGCCCCUGGGACCAGGGUUGCCCUGCCGGUCGGCGCCCGCUCAGUGCCCUGGCGUCCCAGGCGCUUUUUGAUGCCAGCAGCGAGUGCAGCGCGCCGUAAGCAGGAUCGUGUAGCCUCCGCGGCGGCUGCUUUGCGUGCCCAGCUGGAUUUGUGCGGGGUUCCCGCCUCGCAGCCCGUCUCCAGUCCUGACCGGGAGUGUGCCGUGCGCCGCUUGGGUGAGACAAGGCAAAGUGGGAGGGCUUUGCGGCGCUGGGGCUGCCUGCGGGUGGGAAGCUGGCCGGGUGGUGCCCCUGGGGAGGUGCCCGUUUCCCACGUGUGCGGAGGGGGAGGCGCCAGUGAGGCCUAAGCCUGCCCUUGCUCGGCGGUUGCUGGAGCCGACAGCGGAAGAGGCACGACAGAGAACGGCGAGGUAAAGGACGUUGAGAAGAGGCGGGCCGUCGGUCUGGAGAAGAGGAGACGGGCGAGGCGCUCUGGGCAAAGGGAGCCGCUCCUGACCGAAGGUGUGGUAAGUCGAGAGCUUUGCCGUCACCUCGAGUGUGGCCUGUGUGGCUUUGCGCUGGACAACCUCCACGUAAGUAGGACUCGGUCUUUGCUUGUGCCGUCGUUUGCCUUUUGGCGGUUUGGUCCUUUGGCUGCCCGGAGCCCGGCUGCCCUGUAAGGAAGGCGCGAGGCGGUGUCUCCACGCCCGUUGGGGAAAGGGAUCAACCUGGUCCCCGAGCCCCCCCUGUAAGCGGGGUCCUUUCCGCAGCCCCGGCAGCUUGUCAGCUGUGGGCUGCCUGUGCAGCGUGACCCCCUGUACUCGGGGCGUGUCGCGGCUUUUGUCCUUUGGCCGCCCCUGAGGGCCUUUGGUGUCCCGAGGCUUCCCUGAGCUCGGCAGAGUCUGGUGCGGCCAAGUCUGACCCUCUUCUCUCCUGCUGCGGGGUAAGGAUGACUGUCCCAUCGGUGGCUGCCCAGAGCUUGCUCCCUCUCCUGGGAAGAGAUGUGCGUAUGGCCCCCUCCCUUGCCUCUGUGUGUGUGUGCUUGUGUGCCUGAGCGUGCUUGUGGUGUAGGUUGCUGUGAAAAGUGCUGUAGCUUAGCUUAGGCUUCCCAGGAGGGAAAGAGGGGCUCUGGGCAGUAACAGGGGAGUCUCCUCGGAGUGCCCGAGCGGAGUGGGAGCUCAGCUUGCCCCUCCUUGUCCUGUAGGGACAGAGCGUAGGCCCUGUUGUUGAGGGCCUGGGUGUGUGCCUCCGUGGCAGCCUGUCCUGGUGUCAAGGUGGCAUCUGAAGGGCCCUGUAGUCGGGGCCUGUGUGAUGAGCUGUGGAGCCUUGUGUCCCUGUGUGUCGCCAGGAGCGGCCCGAGGUCCCGGUGAGCAGGUCCUAGGAGGCUGUUUUGGGCAGCUGAGUGGAGCGCACGUUCCUGGGCCCUUAGAGGGUGGAGGUGGCUCCCUGGGCUCCUGAAGAGGUGUUGCUGUGCUGCAGGCAGGUGGGCCGUCCCGUAAGUUGGGCGCAGUCCGGAGCCCGUGGCUCCGUAGGCGUUUUUGGGAGUGCCGAGGCGAGAGCGGCCGCCCUGUAAGUGGGGCCGUGCGUCGCGGUGCCCGGCGGGAGGUUGGAGGGAACCCCCCUGUAAUCAGGGUGGGUAUGUCUGGCCCCAGGGGUCCCUGUUCCGGGCGCCAAUCUACGGUGAGGCAGAUCUCGCGGAGAAGGGCUAAUCUCAAAUAUGUAAGGACACCGCACAAUCCAAUGUGGAUCAAAAGCGAGUGACAACUUUAUUUAGUAGACGUGCACUUAUAUGUGUUACAGAUAAUAUAUGCAUACAUGUAAAGAGCUAAAUGGCUGAAUCUCUAAAUACCCCAUUUGCAUGGUGCACCUACUUGCUACGUGCAGCUGCAAGCAGCAAACUACUUCUUAUCUUAUUCAGAGUUAGCUGUAUCCUGCUCUGCUUGAGUUGUCCGCCGACUCAUCAAGGACAGCGCCUCCCUAGCUAGCUAUAUUAAAUGAUGCCUUUGUUUAUUCAA